rnacentral:rRNA from 1 species
GACGAACGCUGGCGGCGUGCCUAAUACAUGCAAGUCGAGCGGAAGUUGAAGAGCUUGCUCUUCAACUUUAGCGGCGGACGGGUGAGUAACACGUGGGCAACCUGCCCUGCAGAUCGGGAUAACUCCGGGAAACCGGUGCUAAUACCGAAUAGUUUUCGCCACCUCCUGGUGGCGUACGGAAAGACGGUUUCGGCUGUCACUGCAGGAUGGGCCCGCGGCGCAUUAGCUAGUUGGGGGGGUAACGGCCCACCAAGGCAACGAUGCGUAGCCGACCUGAGAGGGUGAUCGGCCACACUGGGACUGAGACACGGCCCAGACUCCUACGGGAGGCAGCAGUAGGGAAUCUUCUGCAAUGGACGAAAGUCUGAUGGAGCAACGCCGCGUGAGUGACGAAGGUUUUCGGAUCGUAAAACUCUGUUGUGAGGGAAGAACAAGUACCAACUAACUACUGGUACCUUGACGGUACCUCACCAGAAAGCCACGGCUAACUACGUGCCAGCCGCCGCAGUAA